UACAGGGGGUGCGAGCGUUGUUCGGAAUUACUGGGCGUAAAGCGCGUGUAGGCGGUUUGAUAAGUCAGAUGUGAAAGCCUGGGGCUUAACUCCAGAAGUGCAUUUGAAACUGUCAAGCUUGAGUGAUGUAGAGGAUGGCGGAAUACCCAGUGUAGAGGUGAAAUUCGUAGAGAUUGGGUAGAACACCGGUGGCGAAGGCGGCCAUCUGGGCAUUAACUGACGCUGAGACGCGAAAGCAUGGGGAGCAAACAGG
rnacentral:rRNA from 1 species